GACGAACGCUGGCGGCGUGCUUAACACAUGCAAGUCGAACGGAAGGCCCCAGCUUGCUGGAGUACUCGAGUGGCGAACGGGUGAGUAAACCGUGGGUAAUUUGCCCUGCACUCCGGGAUAAGCCUGGGAAACUGGGUCUAAUACUGGAUUUGACCUUUCUCCUUUUGGGGUUUGGUGGAAAGUUUUUCGGUGUAGGAUGAGCCCGCGGCCUAUCAGCUUGUUGGUGGGGUGAUGGCCUACCAAGGCGACGACGGGUAGCCGGCCUGAGAGGGUGAUCGGCCACAUUGGGACUGAGAUACGGCCCAGACUCCUACGGGAGGCAGCAGUGGGGAAUAUUGCACAAUGGGCGGAAGCCUGAUGCAGCGACGCCGCGUGAGGGAUGACGGCCUUCGGGUUGUAAACCUCUUUCAGCAGGGACGAAGCGUAAGUGACGGUACCUGCAGAAGAAGCACCGGCUAACUAUGUG
rnacentral:rRNA from 1 species